rnacentral:snRNA from 1 species
ACCGCUUCUCAGCCUUUUGGCUAAGAUCAAGUGUUGUUUGUAGAUAUUUUUAUAUGUCUAUAUAUCUUUUGAACCAGAUUUCUUGAAACCAAAUAAAAUACAACACUGGUUUUUGUUUGAAGAUUA